rnacentral:rRNA from 1 species
CCCUAUGGGGUGCAGCAGGCGAGAAAACUUUGCAAUGUGCGAAAGCACGACAAGGUUAAUCCGAGUGGUUUCUGCUAAAGAAACCUUUUGUCAGUCCUAGAACCACUGAUGAAUAAGGGGUGGGCAAGUUCUGGUGUCAGCCGCCGCGGUAAAACCAGCACCUCAAGUGGUCAGGAUGAUUAUUGGGCCUAAAGCAUCCGUAGCCUGUUCUGUAAGUUUUCGGUUAAAUCUAUAAGCUCAACGUAUGGGCUGCCGGGAAUACUGCAGAACUAGGGAGUGGGAGAGGUAGACGGUACUCGGUAGGAAGGGGUAAAAUCCUUUGAUCUAUUGAUGACCACCUGUGGCGAAGGCGGUCUACCAGAACACGUCCGACGGUGAGGGAUGAAAGCUGGGGGAGCAAACCGGAUUAGAUACCCGGGUAGUCCCAGCUGUAAACUAUGCAAACUCAGAUGAUGCAUUGGCUUGUUGCUAGCGCAGUGCUCGCAGGGAAGCCGUUAAGUUUGCCGCCUGGGAAGUACGUACGCAAGUAUGAAACUUAAAGGAAUUGGCGGGGGAGCACCACAAGGGGUGAAGCCUGCGGUUCAAUUGGAGUCAACGCCUGAAUCUUACCCGGAGAGACAGCAGAAUGAAGGUCAAGCUGAGACUUUACCAGACAGCUGAGA